rnacentral:rRNA from 1 species
GACGAACGCUGGCGGCGUGCUUAACACAUGCAAGUCGAGCGGAGCGGCGAACGGGUGAGUAACGCGUGAGUAACUGCCCCCUUCCUGGGAUAACAGUUGGAAACCGGUGCUAAUAACGGGAAGUGGGGGCUGACCCGCCGCCUAUCCGCCUGUUGGUGGGGUAGUGGCCUACCAAGGCGACGACGGGUAGGCGGCCUGAGGGGGGGACCGGCCACAUUGGGCUGAGAUACGGCCCAAACUCCUACGGGAGGCAGCAGUGGGGAAUAUUGCACAAUGGGGGAAACCCUGAUGCAGCAACGCCGCGUGCGGGAUGACGGCCUUCGGGUUGUAAACCGCUUUCAGCCAUGACGCGGUAGUGGCAGAAGAAGCACCGGCUAACUACGUGCCAGCAGCCGCGGUAAUUC